GAUGAACGCUGACAGAAUGCUUAACACAUGCAAGUCAACUUUUGGCGGACGGGUGAGUAACGCGUAAAGAACUUGCCUCACGGAUAGGGACAACAUUUGGAACCGAAUACUAAUACCUGAUACUGUGAGAGAGCUUUGGGUCCCAUUAGCUAGUUGGAGAGGUAACGGCUCACCAAGGCGAUGAUGGGUAGCCGGACUGAGAGGGUGAUCGGCCACAAGGGGACUGGGACACGGUCCUUACGCCAGCGUGAGGCAGCAGUGGGGAAGAUAGAACAAUGGACCAAAGUCUGAACCAGGAAUUCUGUGUGCAAGAUGAAGUUUUCGGAAGGUAAAGUGCUUUCAGUAGAGAAGCGGUACCAACAGAAGAAGUGACGGCUAAAUACGUGCCAGCAGCCGCGGUAAUUC
rnacentral:rRNA from 1 species